rnacentral:tRNA from 1 species
GGUUUUAUAUUCAAAAAUUAAUGAUGCUAGAAUGCAAUUCUAGAGGUGUAAUAAUGUUUACUAAGACUU